CGUCCCCAUCUCCUCACCGUCGCCCCCUUGCCCAUCUAGAUUCCUCCUCCGCCGCCCCUCCCUUCCACCACCCAGUCGCCCCCUCAGCAGAUCAAGCAAGCCGCCCAACCUCACCGGCCUCCUCCGUCAGAUCCGACGGGCACAUCUUCCUGCAGCCACGAGCGACCACCCCAGCCUCCACUCCACCGCUGACAUCCUUUCCCCUCCCUCUCCGUAGAUCCUUUUGAGCAGCCACCUCGAGGGCCCUCCUCCUGCUCGACAUCCUGCUGCUCCCACAUCCUCCCCGCGGCCGCGGUUGAUUCCUCGCCCGCCUACUUUUAACCGCGCCCCCAUUUUCUGGACGGGACAGCUGGGCUGUGGGCGGGCGCCAUGGGCAUCGAUCUCAACACGGCAGACGAGCCUCGCAAGGCGGCGGCGGUGUCGGUGUGCCGGGACCUGUGGCACGCCUGCGCGGGGCCGGUCGUGGCGCUGCCGCGCCGGGGCAGCGCGGUUGUCUACCUGCCGCAGGCAGGGAGACGUGCCGGUGGCCCUGCCGCCGCACGUGGUGUGCCGCGUGGUGGACGUCGAGCUAUGCGCGAAUCCGGCGACGGACGAGGUCUACGCGUGGCUGGCUCUGGUGGCGGAGGGCGAGAGGCUCAAGGUGAAGAAGGCCAUCGAGAAGGGCAUCACUGACGACGCCUGGAUCUAUGCCGAGAACGCCAUCCGCAUGCGCGCCGAGCACAUGAACUACCUCCCGCCUUGCCCCAUACGCCCAUGAGUGAUAUAUACUACUUGCCUGCUGUUGUAUCAUAUUGCUUACUUUUUUACAUCAUAUUUAUGUACGGUAAAUGUCGUCUCAUCAACUAUGAAGAGAAUUGGUGGUGGUUAGGGUGUUCUGGUGCUUAUGUAAUCUUCUUUUAGGCCUUUCGAGAUAGAGUUCUUAAGCUGACAAGUUUAGCAAAUGCUGCGGUGAUUAUAGUUUAGUUUUACACCUGCGUAAAAAUGAAUGGCUGCUACUGUUUCUAGUUUUAGGUUGGGAUGAGAUGCAUGUUUGCAUGCUUGUGCUUGAUGUUUAUCAUCUGGCGCAUUAGUAUGCAGUUCUCAUUGUCAGUUCUUGUUUUCUUGAUUCAUUUAUACUAUAUGAUUCAGGUUUUAUACUUUGCCAGUAGGUAGCUCAUACUGCUCGCUUGCUUCUACUUUGAAUAUUGUGGUCUGCAUGCUUUAGUCAUUGUGCCCUUAGUUCUUUUUUGGUAGGGAGCUAUGCUUAUCAUCAGAAACUGUUCUAGAUGUGAUGUUCCUGAAACUUAUUAUGGUAUCUGUACUGUCCUUAUGUUGCAACACUACAGUUAUUAUUUCUCAUCCUUACGCAGACAAGAAAGCUAACUUUGUUCUAGCCUUCUCAUCCAAGAAUAGAAAUAAAUAAAGGUCGACACAUCUUUAAAAUGACAUGUCAAACUUAGUUUUUGAGGCUAUGUUGCAUUUGUACUUCUUGCUCUGUUAAAUUUGAGGCUACAUUGCAUUUGUAGUUCUUGCUUUGUUAAAUCUGAGAUUGAUGAAAAUGGUAUAUAGAAAGCAAAAAAUUGUAGCCACAUAAUGAUGUUGUAUGGUACCCCCAACAAGUUAUAUGCUUAAAUCAAUUUGAUUUUUCCUAAUUAUAAUUAUCUUACAGUAUCAUGAUGUUGGCAGGUAUAUGCGAGUCCGGCAGUGCGGUGGCAGUCCCCGUGGAACGAGCGCUGGACUACUCCCUUGGCCAGGCGUACCUGUGCAAGCACGAAUGGAUCGAAGACUUACUGUUGGUGUUGCCCGCCAAGUUCUCCAGCCUGUGGUGAACCGAGGCUAUCUCAAGUGCUUCGUUGGUUGGGUUGCAUUCUUUGUUGCCGGUCUCAUGAAUGGGGAAGUUAUUUUUCUUGAAGGAAGGACAAAGAAGAGGCAACACGUUGGCAGUUGGAGGACCCAGGGAUGGAUAAUAUGUGUUGGUCUCGCCAUCUACCUGGCCCUUUUGUUGAUAAAUCCAUUGCGCAAUGCCUAAUCUUGAUAUGACCGUGGAAGGGAUGGAAGUUCAUAUUGAUGUUUGUAAUGAAGGUCACAGCCUAAUCUUGACUAUGGUUCAUAUGAGUAUGGCAUAUGGUUCAUAUGACAGGAGCAUGUGCCCAGUUUGUGAUCGCUAUUGACAGGAGCUCCAUUCUGAAGAAGAUUGAAGACAAUUGUGGAGUUGUAAAUUACUGUAGCCAACUAUCACACUUGUAGAGCUUGUAAUAUUGUGAUUCCAAUUGUAUUACGUGUUAUUGGUAGAGCAAGAGCUCCAUACUGAUUCUGACUGUUGUUAUUUGAAGUAUUACAUGUGUUUUCUGUC